UAGUCAUAUGCUUGUCUCAGAGAUUAAGCCAUGCAUGUCUAAGUAUAAGCAAUCUUAUACAGCGAAACUGCGAAUGGCUCAUUAAAUCAGUUAUAGUCUACUUGAUCGUAUCUUCUUACAUGGAUAACCGUAGUAAAUCUAGAGCUAAUACAUGCUAAAAAUCCUGGACGCGGCAACGCGGAAGGGACGAGUUUAUUAGAUUAAAAACCGACACCUCUCCGCGAGGGGAGGUAGCACAGGUGAUUCACAGUAACCGAUCGGAUCGUCGGCCCCGCCGACGACGACGCAUACGAGUUUCUGCCCUAUCAACUUUAGAUGGUAGAGUAUCGGUCUACCAUGGUCGUAACGGGUGACGGGGGAUUAGGGUUCGAUUCCGGAGAGGGAGCCUGAGAAACGGCUACCACUUCCAAGGAAGGCAGCAGGCGCGCAAAUUACCCAAUCCCGACACGGGGAGGUAGUGACAAGAAAUACCAUUGUAAUGUCUCCUCGAGAGGCUUACGAUUGGAAUGAGUACAAUUUAAAUCCCUUAACGAGUAACGAUU
rnacentral:rRNA from 1 species